rnacentral:rRNA from 1 species
UUACCGAGUUUACAACUCCCAAACCCCUGUGAACAUACCAUUUGUUGCCUCGGCGGUGCCUGCUUCGGCAGCCCGCCAGAGGACCCAAACCCUUGAUUUUAUACAGUAUCUUCUGAGUAAAUGAUUAAAUAAAUCAAAACUUUCAACAACGGAUCUCUUGGUUCUGGCAUCGAUGAAGAACGCAGCGAAAUGCGAUAAGUAAUGUGAAUUGCAGAAUUCAGUGAAUCAUCGAAUCUUUGAACGCACAUUGCGCCCGCCAGUAUUCUGGCGGGCAUGCCUGUUCGAGCGUCAUUUCAACCCUCAAGCCCCCGGGCUUGGUGUUGGAGAUCGGCGUGCCCCCCGGGGCGCGCCGGCUCCCAAAUAUAGUGGCGGUCUCGCUGUAGCUUCCUCUGCGUAGUAGCACACCUCGCACUGGAAAACAGCGUGGCCACGCCGUUAAACCCCCCACUUCUGAAAGGUUGACCUCGGAUCAGGUAGGAAUACCCGCUGAACUUAAGCAUAUCAAUAAGCGGAGGAAAAGAAACCAACAGGGAUUGCCCUAGUAACGGCGAGUGAAGCGGCAACAGCUCAAAUUUGAAAUCUGGCCCUCGGGUCCGAAUUGUAAUUUGUAGAGGAUGCUUUUGGUGAGGUACCUUCCGAGUUCCCUGGAACGGGACGCCAUAGAGGGUGAGAG